CAUGUCUAUUUGUAGAUAUAAAUAGUUCAAUCUGCCCACUGAUAAUUAUAUUAAAGGGCCGCAGUAUUCUAACUGUGCAAAGGUAGCAUAAUCGUUAGUUCUUUAAUUGAGAUCUUGUAUGAAUGAUUAGACAAAAAAAUCACUGUCUUUAUGAUAAAAAUUGAAUUUAACUUUUAAGUGAAAAGGCUUAAAUUAUUUAAAGUGACGAUAAGACCCUAUAAAGCUUAAUAUUUUAUAAAAAUAUAAAUAAUAUAAAUAAUAAAAUUUUAAAUAUUAUAAGUAUUUUAUUGGGGUGAUAAAAGUAAAAUUAUGGUAACUGCUUUACAAUUAAACAAUUAUAAUUGAUUAUUAUAAUUAAAUGAUCCUGUGAUAUGGAGUAUGAGAUUAAGUUACUUUAGGGAUAACAGCGUUAUUUUUUUUAAGAGUUCUUAUCGAAAAAAAAGAUUGCGACCUCGAUGUUGAAUUAAAAUAUCUAUAUAAUUGUAGGAGUUAUAUUAGAAGGUCUGUUCGACCUUUAAAUUUUUACAUGAUUUGAGUUCAGACCGGUUUAAACCAGGUCGGUUUCUAUCUUUUAAUGUAAAUUAAUUACUUUA
rnacentral:rRNA from 1 species